CUUUUGUGUUGCAUUUCUUAUUUCCUAUACCUCAAAUCUCUCAUUAUUUGUUUACUCCCUCAUUUCUGAUGCAGUGCAUCCUUUGUAUUUUCCAGAGUGAGGGGGCAUGAGGUUAAAAUUUUAGAUUUUACUGGUCUGAUAAUGUCUUUAUUUCCACCUUCCCACUUGGCUGGAUCAUUGGCGGGAUAGAGAAUUCUGGGCCAGAAAUAACUUCACAAGAAUUUUGAAGAAUUGCUUCCAGUUUCUAAUCUGAAGCUAUUCUUUCUCCUAAUCAUUUGACUAUGAUCUGCUUUUUUUUUCCUCUGGACACUUAUGGGAUCUCUUUGUUUCCACUAUUUUGAAAUUUUGCAAUAAUAUGUCUUGUUGGAGAUUCACUUAUAAAAUCUAGUGUUGAGAACUUGAUGGGUCAGUUAAUUUGGACACAUACAACUUUUUAAAAUAAUUUCUUUCCUACUCUUCUCCCGCCUCAGUGCUUUCUCUUUGAUUUUCCUAUUAUUUGGCUGUUGGAUUCUCUGGGCUUUCUCAUUUUAUCUUUUUCCCAGUUUGUUUAUUUCUCCAUGUCGUUUUUCAUGUUUAUUUUCCUUCUUUUUUAUUUUUAAUCUCUUUUGGUUGAUUUCCUCAAAUUUAUCUUCCAAUUGUGAUCUUCUAAUGAAUUAAAAAUAUGUUGUUAGAUUUUUAAUUUUUAUUUUUUUAUUUUUUGAGACGGAAUCGCGCUCUGUCGCCCAGGCCGGAGUGCAGUGGUGCGACCUCGGCUCACUGCAAGCUCCGCCUCCUGGGUUCACGCCAUUCUCCUGCCCCAGCCUCCCGAGUAGCUGGGACUACAGGUACCCGCCACCACACCCGGCUAAUUUUUUGUAUUUUUUUUUUUUUUUUUUAGUAGAGACAGGGUUUCACCGUGGUCUCAAUCUCCUGACCUCGUGAUCCGCCCGCCUUGGCCUCCUAAAGUCCUGGGAUUACAGGCAUGAGCCACCGCGCCGGCCUAGAUUUUUAAUUUAAAUAUCUCUUUUUUUUUUUUCGGUUCUCUGAGUGUUUCUCUGUUUAUAGCAUGCGGCUCUCACUGUGGCUCUAAUGAUUGAUUGUCUUAGGAUUAGUUACCGCCCAUUGCCAGUCAGGCUUGGGUUUGGGUUUGGGUUUGGGUUUGGGUUUGGAUUUGGGUUUUGUUUUUGUUUUUGUUUUUUGCACUUUGGUUCCCUCAGAAACUUAGCAGGUUUAUAGUCUAGUUGUGUCCAAUAGAUUUAAGUGCAAGGAGCUACAACAAAUUUGCCUAAGUUUGAAGCCUGAGAAUUGUUGGUGUUUGGCUUUUGUUUUGAACAUUUUCAUUAGCUUAAAGGCUGCUGCUUUGCAGGAAUUUGAAAUAUCCUCUUGGGUGGUGCGACCAUCCUUACUGUAGGCCAAGUUCUUCUUCUGCCAGACAACUUUUAAUGGAAAGUGCUUAAGUAAGUCCAGGGUCACCAACCUCAUUUUCUGUCAAGGCUGCCACUUCACAACUUGUAAGAGUUUCAAUAUGGCAUACAGAAGCAAUUGGCUUUUUCACCCUGCAAGCAUUGGGAACUCGCAGUCAAUCUAGAUUGCUUGCUGAAAGUGGAGUGUAUCUCAGUAAUGCUGUAUUACUUUCUGUGUCUGCAAGCAGACUGGCUCACUCUAGUCUGAAUUUAUCCUUUUUUGGUUGUUGAACUUGGUUGAAAAUUACAAUAAUUAACCAUCAUAUUCCCACAUUCUGAAAGGUCUCAAGAAUUUAAAAACUACAUCCUAUAUUGAACUCCCAGUCUGUGAUCUGGAAUGGUCAAGCCACACUUUGAUCAAGUGUUCUGCUGCCACAUAGCAAAGGCUUCCAUAUUGCAGCAUGGAAUGUCUGAGUCUCCAACAGUUGGUUGUAGCUUCUCCUUUCAGGCAACUUCAUGUUUUAGGUUCUGUUACUUGCAGUAUCCUGCUUUCGGGAACCAAAUUCUAUCCUAAUCAGUUAUUGAUUCAUUCAGCUCUUAGUAACGGAAAACCAAAGCAGCAGUAGUUUAAACAGGUGAGGGUUUCUUUCUUUCUUUCUUUCUUUCUUUCUUUCUUUCUUUCUUUCUUUCUUUCUUUCUUUCUCUUUCUUUCUUUCUUUUCUUUCUUUAUCUUUCUUUUCUUUCUUUC
rnacentral:lncRNA from 1 species